rnacentral:sRNA from 1 species
GUUCCCUACGGUUCCCCCAGGUCCGCCGCAACGCCUGGGUCCGUGGGGCGGCUGGUCCGAAUGUGGACAGAGUGGCCUCUACGACAUGCCGCUUCGGACCAGCCACUUU